AAGUCAACGGCGGCGGCGGUUACUUCAGGUUGGAGUCGACGGUGAGCUACGGAGAUUGAAAAAUUAAACGGAGCGCGUCACAAAGUCAGCAAGGAUGAAGGGAAAAAGGAGAGGUAGGUAGUCGCGAUUUUGUCUCACCGGGUCGGUGGCGGCGGCCAAAACAACAGCAGUGGCAGUGGCUUCUCCGGCAAGCUUUUUGGCCGGCCUGGUGGCGUGGAAACGGUCGAGCGAGAGAGGGGAAAGGAUGCGGGGGCGAGGUGCUUUAAAGUGACGCAGAUAGCUUCAGGUAUGGUGGAGUGGGCAAGGAUAAAUCGGACGUGGGGAUCGUGGACGCGCGCUCGGGUUCGUGCCGGAGAAAAAGGGGUGGUCGUUGGAGGUUGAAGAUGAGCCCGACCGGUGGGUCCCACCUGUUGGUGGCAGCGGCGGCGCACGGGCUGUGGAGAUGGGCCGCGGCGCUCGGGUAAGUGGGCCGGCCCGAUUGGAGUUGGUACGUUACCCCCUUUUUUUUCUUUUCUUUUUCUUAUUUUCUGUUUUUGAUUCUAACUUUUGAUUUAAAGCUUCAAAUCGAGUCAAAUAAAAUGCAAAAAAAAUUGUAAAAUCAUAUCUUCAUAUGAUUCAACUUUUGGGACAAGAAUUCCCUCAAAAUAAAAUAUUUAAAAAUACUUUUGCCCGUAAACUAACCUUUAGGGCUUUUUAGCUAUUAAAAUAUUUAGUGUUUCAAAUCAAAUUCAAAAACCAAGAUAUGGGGUAGCUUUAUAAAUGCAUUAAACCCCUUUUUAUGCCAAAACCCUCUUGGGUUAAAAUGCAAUUAACCAAAAGCAAGAAAAGAGCCAGAUUCAAAUAAAAGCACUUUUGUUAAAGGGUUUUUCUGAGCUAAACUUUAGGGU
rnacentral:lncRNA from 1 species